CACGUAGGGUGCGAGCGUUGUCCGGAUUUAUUGGGCGUAAAGAGCUCGUAGGCGGUUUGUCGCGUCUGCUGUGAAAACCCGAGGCUCAACCUCGGGCCUGCAGUGGGUACGGGCAGACUAGAGUGCGGUAGGGGAGAUUGGAAUUCCUGGUGUAGCGGUGGAAUGCGCAGAUAUCAGGAGGAACACCGAUGGCGAAGGCAGAUCUCUGGGCCGUAACUGACGCUGAGGAGCGAAAGCGUGGGAGCGAACAGG
rnacentral:rRNA from 1 species